rnacentral:rRNA from 1 species
UACGUAGGGUGCGAGCGUUGUCCGGAAUUAUUGGGCGUAAAGGGCUCGUAGGCGGUCUGUCGCGUCGAAAGUGAAAACUCAGGGCUUAACCCUGAGCCUGCUUCCGAUACGGGCAGACUAGAGGUAUGCAGGGGAGAACGGAAUUCCUGGUGUAGCGGUGAAAUGCGCAGAUAUCAGGAGGAACACCAAUAGCGAAGGCAGCUCGCUGGGACGGUACUGACGCUGAGGCGCGAAAGCGUGGGGAGCGAACAGG